rnacentral:rRNA from 1 species
UACGAAGGGGCUAGCGUUGCUCGGAAUUACUGGGCGUAAAGCGCACGUAGGCGGCUUUCUAAGUCGGGGGUGAAAUCCUGGAGCUCAACUCCAGAACUGCCUUCGAUACUGGAGAGCUUGAGUCCGGGAGAGGUGAGUGGAACUGCGAGUGUAGAGGUGAAAUUCGUAGAUAUUCGCAAGAACACCAGUGGCGAAGGCGGCUCACUGGCCCGAUACUGACGCUGAGGUGCGAAAGCGUGGGGAGCAAACAGGG